ACGGGAGGCAGCAGUAGGGAAUAUUGUACAAUGGGGGGAACCCUGAUGCAGCAACGCCACGUGUGGGAAGAAGCAUUUCGGUGUGUAAACCACUGUCGUGAGGGAAUAAUGCUUGAGUUCGGUCAAGUUGAAUGUACCUCGAAAGGAAGCACCGGCAAACUUCGUGCAAGCAGCCGCGGUAAUACGAGGGGUGCAAGCGUUGGUCGGAAUCACUGGGCGUAAAGGGAGCGUAGGCGGAGACGCAAGCAGUCUGUACAAUACCGGGGCCCAACCCCGGACCUGCAGCCCGGACUGUGUCUCUUGGAUAGUUCAGGGGCAGGCGGAAUUCCUGGUGUAGCGGUGGAAUGCGUAGAGAUCAGGAAGAACACCGAUGGCGAAGGCAGCCUGCUGGGGACUCAUCGACGCUGAGACGCGAAAGCGUGGGGAGCGAACAGGAUUGGAUACCCUGGUA
rnacentral:rRNA from 1 species